rnacentral:rRNA from 1 species
AGUAGUUUGAUCCGUGGCUCAGGACGAACGCUGGCGGCGUGCUUAACACAUGCAAGUCGAGCGGAGAUGCAUUUCGGAGAGCUUCGGCAGGAAGAGAUACAUCUUAGCGGCGGACGGGUGAGUAACGCGUGAGCAACCUGUCCUUCACAGGGGGAUAAGAUACCGAAAGGUGUUCUAAUACCGCAUGAGACCACAAGGCCACAUGGCGAAGGGGUCAAAGGAGCAAUCCGGUGAAGGGUGGGCUCGCGUCCGAUUAGAUAGUUGGUGAGGUAACGGCCCACCAAGUCGACGAUCGGUAGCCGACCUGAGAGGGUGAUCGGCCACAUUGGGACUGAGACACGGCCCAGACUCC